rnacentral:rRNA from 1 species
AUUGAACGCUGGCGGAAUGCUUUACACAUGCAAGUCGAACGGCAGCACGGACUUCGGUCUGGUGGCGAGUGGCGAACGGGUGAGUAAUACAUCGGAACGUGCCCAAUCGUGGGGGAUAACGUAGCGAAAGCUACGCUAAUACCGCAUACGAUCUAAGGAUGAAAGCGGGGGAUCGCAAGACCUCGCGCGAAUGGAGCGGCCGAUGGCAGAUUAGGUAGUUGGUAGGGUAAAGGCCUACCAAGCCGACGAUCUGUAGCUGGUCUGAGAGGAUGAACAGCCACACUGGGACUGAGACACGGCCCAGACUCCUACGGGAGGCAGCAGUGGGGAAUUUUGGACAAUGGACGCAAGUCUGAUCCAGCCGUUCCGCGUGCAGGAUGAAGGCCCUCGGGUUGUAAACUGCUUUUGUACAGAACGAAAAGGCUCUGGUUAAUACCUGGGGCUCAUGACGGUACUGUAAGAAUAAGCACCGGCUAACUACGUGCCAGCCGCCGCCGUAACAC